ACGCUGGCGGCAGGCCUAACACAUGCAAGUCGAGCGGUAGAGAGAAGCUUGCUUCUCUUGAGAGCGGCGGACGGGUGAGUAAUGCCUAGGAAUCUGCCUGGUAGUGGGGGAUAACGUUCGGAAACGGACGCUAAUACCGCAUACGUCCUACGGGAGAAAGCAGGGGACCUUUGGGCCUUGCGCUAUCAGAUGAGCCUAGGUCGGAUUAGCUAGUUGGUGAGGUAAUGGCUCACCAAGGCGACGAUCCGUAACUGGUCUGAGAGGAUGAUCAGUCACACUGGAACUGAGACACGGUCCAGACUCCUACGGGAGGCAGCAGUGGGGAAUAUUGGACAAUGGGCGAAAGCCUGAUCCAGCCAUGCCGCGUGUGUGAAGAAGGUCUUCGGAUUGUAAAGCACUUUAAGUUGGGAGGAAGGGUUGUAGAUUAAUACUCUGCAAUUUUGACGUUACCGACAGAAUAAGCACCGGCUAACUCUGUGCCAGCAGCCGCGGUAAUACAGAGGGUGCAAGCGUUAAUCGGAAUUACUGGGCGUAAAGCGCGCGUAGGUGGUUUGUUAAGUUGGAUGUGAAAUCCCCGGGCUCAACCUGGGAACUGCAUUCAAAACUGACUGACUAGAGUAUGGUAGAGGGUGGUGGAAUUUCCUGUGUAGCGGUGAAAUGCGUAGAUAUAGGAAGGAACACCAGGGCGAAG
rnacentral:rRNA from 1 species